UGGGGAAUCUUCCGCAAUGGACGAAAGUCUGACGGAGCAACGCCGCGUGAGUGAAGAAGGUUUUCGGAUCGUAAAACUCUGUCUUUUGGGGCGAACGUGAGUAUGGUGAACAAUCAUAGUCAGUGACGGUACCAAAGGAGGAAGCCACGGCUAACUACGUGCCAGCAGCCGCGGUAAUACGUAGGUGGCAAGCGUUGUCCGGAAUUAUUGGGCGUAAAGAGCGCGUAGGCGGGAUAGUCAGUCUGUUGUAAAAGUGCGGGGCUCAACCCCGUGAUGGCAAUGGAAACAGCUAUUCUUGAGUGCAGGAGAGGAAAGUGGAAUUCCCAGUGUAGCGGUGAAAUGCGUAGAUAUUGGGAGGAACACCAGUGGCGAAGGCGACUUUCUGGACUGUGUCUGACGCUGAGGCGCGAAAGCCAGGGGGAGCGAACGGGAUUAGAUACCCCGGUAGUCCUGGCCGUAAACGAUGGGUACUAGGUGUGGGAGGUAUCGACCCCCUUCCGUGCCGGAGUUAACGCAAUAAGUACCCCCGCCUGGGGAGUACGGUCGCAAGACUGAAACUCAAAUGAAUUGACGGGGGUCAUAGCUGUUUCCUG
rnacentral:rRNA from 1 species